ACUGAUAAUAUAUUUAAGGGCCGCAGUAUUCUGACUGUGCAAAGGUAGCAUAAUCAUUAGUCUUUUAAUUGAGGGCUUGUAUGAAUGAUUGGACGAGAUAUAAGCUGUCUCAUAAAAAUUUAAGUAGAAUUUUAUUUUUUAGUCAAAAAGCUAAAAUAUAUUUAAAAGACGAGAAGACCCUAUAGAUCUUUAUAAUUUGUUUUUAACUUUUUUUAGGUUAUUUUUUGAAUUUAAAAAUUAAAUUAUUUUGUUGGGGUGACAAUGAAAUUUAAUAAACUUUCAUUAGUUUAUAACAUUAAUUUAUGAAUAUUUGAUCCACUAUUAGUGAUUAAAAAUUUAAGUUACCUUAGGGAUAACAGCGUAAUUAUUUUGGAGAGUUCUUAUCGAUAAAAUAGUUUGCGACCUCGAUGUUGGAUUAAGAUUAAUUCUGGGUGUAGCAGUUCAGUUUAUUAAGUCUGUUCGACUUUUAAUUUCUUACAUGAUC
rnacentral:rRNA from 1 species